CACGUAGGGCGCAAGCGUUGUCCGGAAUUAUUGGGCGUAAAGAGCUCGUAGGCGGUCUGUUACGUCUGCUGUGAAAACCCUGGGCUUAACCCUGGCCUUGCAGUGGAUACGGGCAGACUAGAGGCAGGUAGGGGAGAAUGGAAUUCCCGGUGUAGCGGUGAAAUGCGCAGAUAUCGGGAGGAACACCGGUGGCGAAGGCGGUUCUCUGGGCCUGACCUGACGCUGAGGAGCGAAAGCGUGGGGAGCGAACAGG
rnacentral:rRNA from 1 species